GGCCCAGACAGCCAGGAUGUUGGCUUAGAAGCAGCCAUCAUUUAAAGAAAGCGUAAUAGCUCACUGGUCGAGUCGGCCUGCGCGGAAGAUGUAACGGGGCUAAACCAUGCACCGAAGCUGCGGCAGCAACGCUUAUGCGUUGUUGGGUAGGGGAGCGUUCUGUAAGCCUGUGAAGGUGUACUGUGAGGUAUGCUGGAGGUAUCAGAAGUGCGAAUGCUGACAUAAGUAACGAUAAAGCGGGUGAAAAGCCCGCUC
rnacentral:rRNA from 1 species